rnacentral:lncRNA from 1 species
AAUGCACGAUUGAACCCAAGCUGCCUGUUGAUACAAUAUAACUAAUUAAUAAUAUAAUAACUCCAAAGUAUUCCAGCAAUGUUAGGUUGAUAACACGAUUAAGGUUCAUAACCAAUUUUAGCAGUCUUGCAGAAUAAAAUGCAUAACAAAAUUACCUAAAUAUCCUAGAUUUGCAACCUGAAAUAGUUUCAUGAAUGAAUUAGAAAAUAUAAAUAGUUCCAAGUGUGUAUUCACAGGUUCAUCAUCAGAUUCAAAUUCAAUUCCAUAAUUGUAGUCUUGUUCAACCACCAACUUUCCUAAAAACAUGCUAAGCACCACCAACUUUCCUUAAAAUAUAGUACUAAGCUUAUAGGUAGAGUAGAUGCUCAUUAAUGAAUGAUUUGAUGUCUCUAAACUAAUCUUUUAUAUGAGUGUAUUGGAGCUUGGAGCAUUGAUGCCUGGCUAUCAAUCUUGGAUAGCUUGUGCGGAAUGACUAACCGCAAAACUGCUAUAGAAAAUAGAGCCUGCUGCUUCAUUAAAGAUCAUAAUACAAGUCAAAUGUUCUGUACGAGACAUAUAUAAAUGCUCAAAAAUAAAAGAGUACUCAAAAUUAAAUCAAUGUUUUAACUUGUAAUAAAAAACUCAUAAUCUU